UCCCCUGUAGCUCAAUGGUAGAGCAGGUCCCUGUUAAGGACAAGGUUUGAGGUUCGAGUCCUCACGGGGGAGCCA
rnacentral:tRNA from 1 species